rnacentral:rRNA from 1 species
CGAUGAACCACAUUCGGUGGGGAUUAGUGGCGAACGGGUGAGUAACACGUGGGCAAUCUGCCCUGCACUCUGGGACAAGCCCUGGAAACGGGGUCUAAUACCGGAUACUGAUUGUCUUGGGCAUCCUUGAUGAUCGAAAGCUCCGGCGGUGCAGGAUGAGCCCGCGGCCUAUCAGCUUGUUGGUGAGGUAACGGCUCACCAAGGCGACGACGGGUAGCCGGCCUGAGAGGGCGACCGGCCACACUGGGACUGAGACACGGCCCAGACUCCUACGGGAGGCAGCAGUGGGGAAUAUUGCACAAUGGGCGAAAGCCUGAUGCAGCGACGCCGCGUGAGGGAUGACGGCCUUCGGGUUGUAAACCUCUUUCAGCAGGGAAGAAGCGAAAGUGACGGUACCUGCAGAAGAAGCGCCGGCUAACUACGUGCCAGCAGCCGCGGUAAUACGUAGGGCGCAAGCGUUGUCCGGAAUUAUUGGGCGUAAAGAGCUCGUAGGCGGCUUGUCACGUCGGAUGUGAAAGCCCGGGGCUUAACCCCGGGUCUGCAUUCGAUACGGGCAGGCUAGAGUUCGGUAGGGGAGAUCGGAAUUCCUGGUGUAGCGGUGAAAUGCGCAGAUAUCAGGAGGAACACCGGUGGCGAAGGCGGAUCUCUGGGCCGAUACUGACGCUGAGGAGCGAAAGCGUGGGGAGCGAACAGGAUUAGAUACCCUGGUAGUCCACGCCGUAAACGGUGGGCACUAGGUGUGGGCAACAUUCCACGUUGUCCGUGCCGCAGCUAACGCAUUAAGUGCCCCGCCUGGGGAGUAC